ACACAUGCAAGUCGAGCGAUCUCCUUCGGAAGGGAGCGGCGGACGGGUGAGUAACGCGUGGGUAACCUGCCCUGUACACACGGAUAACAUACCGAAAGGUAUGCUAAUACGGGAUAACAUAAGAGAGUCGCAUGGCUUUCUUAUCAAAGCUUUUGCGGUACAGGAUGGACCCGCGUCUGAUUAGCUAGUUGGUAAGGUAACGGCUUACCAAGGCGACGAUCAGUAGCCGACCUGAGAGGGUGAUCGGCCACAUUGGAACUGAGACACGGUCCAAACUCCUACGGGAGGCAGCAGUGGGGAAUAUUGCACAAUGGGCGAAAGCCUGAUGCAGCAACGCCGCGUGAGCGAUGAAGGCCUUCGGGUCGUAAAGCUCUGUCCUCAAGGAAGAUAAUGACGGUACUUGAGGAGGAAGCCCCGGCUAACUACGUGCCAGCAGCCGCGGUAAUACGUAGGGGGCUAGCGUUAUCCGGAAUUACUGGGCGUAAAGGGUGCGUAGGCGGUCUUCCAAGUCAGAAGUGAAAGGCUACGGCUCAACUGUAGUAAGCUUUUGAAACUGUAAGACUUGAGUGCAGGAGAGGAGAGUGGAAUUCCUAGUGUAGCGGUGAAAUGCGUAGAUAUUAGGAGGAACACCAGUUGCG
rnacentral:rRNA from 1 species